UCACCGUUUACACGGGCAGUUUCUCUAGAGUCCCCGGCAUUACCCGCUGGCAACUAGAGAUGGGGGUUGCGCUCGUUAUGGGACUUAACCCAACAUCUCACUACACGAGCUGACGACAGCCAUGCAGCACCUGUGUACUGGUUCUCUCUCGAGCACUCCCCAAUCUCUCGGGGAUUCCAGCCAUGUCAAGGGUAGGUAAGGUUUUUCGCGUUGCAUCGAAUUAAUCCACAUCAUCCACCGCUUGUGCGGGCCCCCGUCAAUUCCUUUGAGUUUCAGCCUUGCGGCCGUACUCCCCAGGCGGGGCACUUAAUGCGUUAGCGACGACACUCAGGGGGUCGCUCCCCCAAGCAUCUAGUGCCCAUCGUUUACGGCGUGGACUAC
rnacentral:misc_RNA from 1 species